GUGUGUGUGUGUGUGUGUGUGUGUGUGUGUGUAUGUGUGUGUGUGUGUGUGUGUUUUCAGACGGCACUUCACUGGGCAGCCAAACAAGGCCGUCAGGACUCAGUGGAAUUGAUGCUUCGCUUUGGAGUCGACGUCAACGUCAAAUCGCAUGGGGGUUACACAGCUCUUCAUCUGGCCUCGAUCCAUGGCCACCAGCAGCUGGUUCAGUCGCUGAUCCACUGUCACA